CUUUAGGUGUCUUCACAAAUUCUUCAGCUACAAGAGACUUGCCCCUAAAGGUAGUCUCACUAUUAGCCAUACUCUUCCUCUUCAAUGUGGCAUUGCUACGCUUAGAGGACAACUCAGUAAUAUGACUUUUUGAUGAUUUGCUAGGCAUUACAUAAGUUUCUGGUUGCUUAGACGAAUUUUGAGAUACUUUAUGUUGUUCAUGGUCUGUGGCCUCAGCUGAUUCUUUAACUUUACGAGACUUGUCUCUUUUGGUUGGCUCAGGAUAAUCCAUGCGCUUCUUCUUUAAUGUUGGACUUAGGUUGGCACUUUAAGUUGUUCAUGGUCUCAGCUGAUUAAAGAGAACCUUAACCUUAGGCCAUGAAUAAUCUUUCUUAAAGUGCCAACCUAAGUCCAACAUUAAUGAGGAAGAGUAUGAAUUAUCUUGAGCCAACCAAAAGAGGCAAGUCUCCUAGAGUUAAUGAAUCAGCUGAGGCAACAGACCAUGAACAGCAUAAAGUAUCUCAAAAUUUGUCUAAGCAACAAGAAACUUAUGUAAUGCCCGACAAAUCAUCAGAAAGUCACAUUAUUGAGUUGGCCUCUGAGCUUAGCAAUGCCACAUUGAAGAGGAAGAGUAUAGCUGAUAGUGAGACUACCUAUAGGGGCAAGUCUCCUGUAGUUGAAGAAUCAGUGAAGACACCCAAAGAUAAAUGUAUUAUACAGUACAAGAGGACUUACAAAAAAUAAGCUGAAGGUCAAGCAGACUCCUCCGCCUGAACAGAACCAUGACCAGGGCGCUGAAAAGUUUGAUGCUAAUAUGGAAGAGAGGUUUGAAGGUGGACCGAGCACUAGACUCAGGCCAAGAAAGUUAAAGCCUCCAAAGAAGGACCCGAAACAUGUUACACAUAAAGUUGUAGAAAAAGAUGAACUGAAGACAUCGAGUAUCAGAGCAAAAUCGGCUUUUGGAAUUCAGGCAUCAGCUGGCAGAAGGUCCAGAAAAGCAGAGGCAAAGUAUUCUUGUGGAGGGCUGCAUGAUGAACUUUGGCUCCAAAAAAGAGCUGGGGCUUCAUGACAAAAAUAUCUGCUCGGUAAAGGGGUGCGAAAAAAAGUUUGCCUCGCACAAAUAUCUGAUACACAAUCAGAAGGUGCAUCGUGAGGACCGUCCCCGUCCCCGUCCCCUACAAUGCCCUUGGGAAGGCUGCACAAAGACGUUUAAAUGGGCUUGGGCUUGGGCUCGGACAGAACAUAUCAGAGUUCAUACAGGUAACCGUCCAUAUACCUGUGCUGAGACUAGCUGUGGCCAAACGUUUCGUUUUGUGUCAAAUUUGGGUCGCUACAAGAGGAAGGCUAGACCCUCAAGGAAGCUCGAAGAAUCAGCAAACAAAUGCAAGACGCAAGUUAACAUUAUAUAAGGACCUCAUUGUUCAUGUGCAAAGGGGGAGAAAGUAUGUUCUUUCUAAAUGAGAACUGGUUCAUGCAAGUAUGGGGAAAACUGUAAGUUUCAUCAUCCGAAUCCUACAGCAGCGGGAGGAGGUGACACUACUUCGCAGAGGUAGGUCAUCAACAAGAGCAAUAAAUGAGACUGCUUUUUUCAGGCCAGUUAUCUAUCUGCCAUCCCCGUUCAUGCUAGUUACCUAUCCGCCAACCCCAUGCAGGCGAAUUAUUUAUCCACCAACGGCCAACCCCAUCAACUCUUGAAAAUGCAGAAUGGAAUGGAUAUCAGGGGAUUCUGCCUAUUCCCCCAGCACCUUUGAUGACCAUUCCAGCAACUGGAUCCAGCUUCUAUGCACAUUAACAGGGCCAGGUAAAAGUAGAUGAAUAUCCUGAAUGACCUGGACCGCUCGAUUGCAGUUUCUACAUGAGAACGGGGGAUUGCAGGUUCAGAUCUUCCUGCAGGUUCCACCACCCCAUAAACCGAGACGGCUGUCACUCUUAGUGACCAAGGACUGCGUUUGCGUCCUGGCCAGAGUGUCUGCUCACACUUCAGCCGUUAUGGAACUUGUAAGUUUGGAUCGUCCUGUAAGUACGAUUAUUCAGUUGGUGGUACUGCACCUUCUCAGAUGGAGCUGAUCAAGGCCGUACCUUAUAGUUUACCUGCUUUGCAGAUGAACAUGGGAAGUGGGAAACGGAGCUGUAUCAUACUGUAGUUGUAGAAACUUAUAGCGCAGUGAUUACUACUACUUGCAAACUUUUUGUAUUUUACCAUAGGUUGAGUUUCUGACAAGAAGACUUUAAUAAGAUGUUAUGAUGUUUCCGUCGUAUCAAGACUAUGGUUGCAGAGGCGGAUCUUAGAAGGGGCAAGAGGGGGCAACUGACCCCCUUAAUUUUUUUGUUUGUUAAUAUUAUACAUAUUUUUAGGUUGUAAAAUUGAAAUUGACCCCCCUUAAUUUUUUUGUGACCCCUUUUAAUUUUUUUUACAAAAAAAUUGACCCCCCUUAACUUCAUAGUCAGAUCCGCCACUGUAUGG